rnacentral:rRNA from 1 species
UAGGGAAUCUUCGGCAAUGGACGAAAGUCUGACCGAGCAACGCCGCGUGAGUGAAGAAGGUUUUCGGAUCGUAAAACUCUGUUGUUAGAGAAGAACAAGGACGUUAGUAACUGAACGUCCCCUGACGGUAUCUAACCAGAAAGCCACGGCUAACUACGUGCCAGCAGCCGCGGUAAUACGUAGGUGGCAAGCGUUGUCCGGAUUUAUUGGGCGUAAAGCGAGCGCAGGCGGUUUCUUAAGUCUGAUGUGAAAGCCCCCGGCUCAACCGGGGAGGGUCAUUGGAAACUGGGAGACUUGAGUGCAGAAGAGGAGAGUGGAAUUCCAUGUGUAGCGGUGAAAUGCGUAGAUAUAUGGAGGAAAACCAGUGGCGAAGGCGGCUCACUGGUCUGUAACUGACGCUGAGGCUCGAAAGCGUGGGGAGCAAACAGG